rnacentral:rRNA from 1 species
CCCUUAGAUGUUCUGGGCCGCACGCGCGCUACACUGAUGCAUUCAACGAGCCUAUCCUUGACCGACAGGUCCGGGUAAUCUUUGAAUCUGUAUCGUGACGGGGAUAGAUUAUUGCAAUUAUUAAUCUUCAACGAGGAAUGCCUAGUAGGCGCAAGUCAUCAGCUUGCGUCGAUUACGUCCCUGCCCUUUGUACACACCGCCCGUCGCUCCUACCGAUUGGGUGUGCUGGUGAAAUGUUCGGAUCGGCCGUUUGUCGCGGUUUCCGCGUCAUGUGGCUGAGAAGUUCAUUAAACCCUCCCACCUAGAGGAAGGAGAAGUCGUAACA